AGAGUUUGAUCAUGGCUCAGGAUGAACGCUAGCGGGAGGCUUAACACAUGCAAGUCGAGGGGCAACAGGAAUAGCAAUAUUUGCUGGCGACCGGCGCACGGGUGAGUAACGCGUAUGCAACCUACCCAUAACAGGGGGAUAGCUUCCGGAAACGGAAAUUAAUACCCCAUAGGAUUUUAAUGCCGCAUGGUAUAAAGAUUAAAACUACGGUGGUUAUGGAUGGGCAUGCGUGCCAUUAGCUAGUUGGCGGGGUAACGGCCCACCAAGGCUACGAUGGCUAGGGGGUCUAAAAGGAUGAUCCCCCACACUGGUACUGAGACACGGACCAGACUCCUACGGGAGGCAGCAGUGAGGAAUAUUGGUCAAUGGGCGGGAGCCUGAACCAGCCAUCCCGCGUGCAGGAAGACGGCCCUAUGGGUUGUAAACUGCUUUUUUAUGGGAAGAAAAAGCCCUACGUGUAGAGCACUGACGGUACCAUAUGAAUAAGCAUCGGCUAACUCCGUGCCAGCAGCCGCG
rnacentral:rRNA from 1 species